AAAACCCGGUAGUUGGAUUUUAUUUAAAAAAAAAAGAUGCAAUACAAUAUUACAGAUAUAGAAAUUCCAAGACAAGAAUUAUUGCUUCUGUUUAUACUUCACUUUACAAACCCCUAUUUUUCUAUCUAUCUACCAACAUUAAAAAAAAAAUGGAAUAGUGUAUGUGUGUGAAGAAAAUCUGCAGAUAUCCUUUAAGCAUGCUCAAGCAUGCUCAGCCAUCUAUUGACAUUUUUUCUUUGACUCCAGCUCCACGCCUAUUGAAAUAUUCUUCUUUGACUCCAGCUCCAGCAGCAUUUUUGCAAAAUUUUCACACCCGAACACCUUCAUUUGGUUUCAGAUUUCAGCAGCUAUUAAUCCUCAUCUCAUACCCAUUCCAUACUUAAACGUUUUCAUCAUUCUCUGCCAAAGAAAUUUUCAAGUAUCAGUUAAUUCCUGCUUCAUUCAACACAGCAGCAAAUAGACACCACAACCAUAUCCUCAAGGUAUUUUCAGUUCACUAUCCUCAUAUAUGCAUUUCACUUCCCUCAUUUCAUAUAAAAGAAAUUCGAAACAUAGGAUGAGAGUAAAACAGAGGGACAUAGCAAAUCACAUAUGCGUACAUGAUUAGCAUUAAACAGAAAUAGAUUUAUUCAUACAUUGAUAUCUUUAUACUGCCUUUGUACUUAGAACCAAGUCAUGAGAAUUUCCAUCGGCA
rnacentral:lncRNA from 1 species